rnacentral:rRNA from 1 species
ACUCCUACGGGAGGCAGCAGUGAGGAAUAUUGGUCAAUGGGCGCAAGCCUGAACCAGCCAUGCCGCGUGCAGGAAGACUGCCUUAUGGGUUGUAAACUGCUUUUAUAUGGGAAGAAACCCCUCUACGUGUAGAGGCUUGACGGUACCAUAAGAAUAAGCACCGGCUAACUCCGUGCCAGCAGCCGCGGUAAUACGGAGGGUGCGAGCGUUAAUCGGAAUUACUGGGCGUAAAGCGCAUGCAGGUGGUUUGUUAAGUCAGAUGUGAAAGCCCGGGGCUCAACCUCGGAAUAGCAUUUGAAACUGGCAAGCUAGAGUACUGUAGAGGGGGUAGAAUUUCAGGUGUAGCGGUGAAAUGCGUAGAGAUCUGAAGGAAUACCGGUGGCGAAGGCGGCCCCCUGGACAGAUACUGACACUCAGAUGCGAAAGCGUGGGGAGCAAACAGGAUUAGAUACCCUGGUAGCGAGU